rnacentral:rRNA from 1 species
GAUGAACGCUGGCGGCGUGCUUAACACAUGCAAGUCGAACGAAGCACUUUAUUUUAUUUCCUUCGGGACUGAUUAUUUUGUGACUGAGUGGCUGAUGGGUGAGUAACGCGUGGGUAACCUGCCUUGUACAGGGGUAUAACAGUUGGAAACGGCUGCUAAUACCGCAUAAGCACCCAGCAUCGCAUGAUGCAGUGUGAAAAACUUCGGCGGUCUAAGAUGGACCCGCGUUGGAUUAGGUAGUUGGUGAGGUGACGGCCUACCAAGGCGACGAUCCAUAGCCGACCUGAGAGGGUGACCGGCCACAUUGGGACUGAGACACGGCCCAAACUCCUACGGGAGGCAGCAGUGGGGAAUAUUGCACAAUGGGCGAAAGCCUGAUGCAGCGACGCCGCGUGAGCGAUGAAGUAUUUCGGUAUGUAAAGCUCUAUCAGCAGGGAAGAUAAUGACGGUACCUGACUAAGAAGCACCGGCUAAAUACGUG